rnacentral:pre_miRNA from 1 species
AGUGGAAUGGCUGGGUCAAAUGGUGGUUCUAUUCCAAGUUUUCUGAGGAAUCUCCAUACUGCUUUGCUUUCCAGAAUGGUUACACCAAUUUGCAAUCCUACAAGCAAU